rnacentral:rRNA from 1 species
CCUACGGAGGCAGCAGUGGGGAAUAUUGGACGAUGGGCGCAAGCCUGAUCCAGCCAUGCCGCGUGGGUGAUGAAGGCCCUAGGGUUGUAAAGCCCUUUCGGCGGGGAAGAUAAUGACGGUACCCGCAGAAGAAGCCCCGGCUAACUUCGUGCCAGCAGCCGCGGUAAUACGAAGGGGGCUAGCGUUGUUCGGAAUUACUGGGCGUAAAGCGUGCGCAGGCGGUUCGUUGUGUCGGCGGUGAAAGCCCCGGGCUCAACCUGGGAAUGGCCGUUGAAACUGGCGAACUGGAGUGUGGCAGAGGGGGGUGGAAUUCCGCGUGUAGCAGUGAAAUGCGUAGAGAUGCGGAGGAACACCGAUGGCGAAGGCAGCCCCCUGGGCUGACACUGACGCUCAGGCACGAAAGCGUGGGGAGCAAACAGGAUUAGAUACCCUGGUAGUCCACGCCCUAAACGAUGUCGACUGGGUGUUGGGGAAGCGAUUUCCCAGUACCGUAGCUAACGCGUGAAGUCGACCGCCUGGGGAGUACGGCCGCAAGGUUAAAACUCAAAGGAAUUGACGG